rnacentral:rRNA from 1 species
GACGAACGCUGGCGGCGUGCUUAACACACGCAAGUCGAACGGAAAGGCCCUGCUUUUGUGGGGUGCUCGAGUGGCGAACGGGUGAGUAACACGUGAGUAACCUGCCCUUGACUUUGGGAUAACUUCAGGAAACUGGGGCUAAUACCGGAUAGGAGCUCCUGCUGCAUGGUGGGGGUUGGAAAGUUUCGGCGGUUGGGGAUGGACUCGCGGCUUAUCAGCUUGUUGGUGGGGUAGUGGCUUACCAAGGCUUUGACGGGUAGCCGGCCUGAGAGGGUGACCGGCCACAUUGGGACUGAGAUACGGCCCAGACUCCUACGGGAGGCAGCAGUGGGGAAUAUUGCACAAUGGGCGGAAGCCUGAUGCAGCAACGCCGCGUGCGGGAUGACGGCCUUCGGGUUGUAAACCGCUUUCGCCUGUGACGAAGCGUGAGUGACGGUAAUGGGUAAAGGAGCACCGGCUAACUACGUG